rnacentral:rRNA from 1 species
UGGGGAAUCUUAGACAAUGGGGGAAACCCUGAUCUAGCCAUGCCGCGUGAGCGAUGAAGGCCUUAGGGUUGUAAAGCUCUUUCAGAUGGGAAGAUAAUGACGGUACCAUCAGAAGAAGCCCCGGCUAACUCCGUGCCAGCAGCCGCGGUAAUACGGAGGGGGCUAGCGUUGUUCGGAAUUACUGGGCGUAAAGCGCGCGUAGGCGGAUUGGAAAGUUGGGGGUGAAAUCCCAGGGCUCAACCCUGGAACUGCCUUCAAAACUAUCAGUCUAGAGUUCGAGAGAGGUGAGUGGAAUUCCGAGUGUAGAGGUGAAAUUCGUAGAUAUUCGGAAGAACACCAGUGGCGAAGGCGGCUCACUGGCUCGAUACUGACGCUGAGGUGCGAAAGCGUGGGGAGCAAACA